AUACCGGGUCUCGCACUGUCACCCAGGCUGGAGUACAGUGGCACAACCUCUGCUCACUGCAGCCUCCACCUGCCAGGCUCAAGCAAUUCUCCUGCCUCAGCCUCCCGAGUAGCUGGGAUUACAGGAAGUGACUUCACAAUGACUCAAGCUACCAUAUACUGUUGAUUGUGAAAUGCCAGUUGAAGCAUAUGUCCUGUGAGCUUAGGGGUGCUACAGGUUGACCACUGCAGCAGUAAAGAUGACUCUGAAGAAUGGCAUGGGAUGGAUCCUUUCGAAUGCACUUGAGCAGCGGUCUCCAACCACAGGGCCACAGAGCUGGAGCUGGAUCUGCCAUGAACGACUUCUGAAUCCAGGAAGAGAGACUGACUGGGCAACAUGUUAUUCAGAAUCUCCCUGUGUCAUCCAGGCUGGAGUGCAGUUAUGUGAUCAUAGCUCACUAUAGCUUUGGCCUUCUGAGAUCAAGCGAUCCUCCCAUCUCAACCUCCCAAGUAGGUAGGACUACACAUGCAUGUCACCCAUGCCCAGCUCAUUUUUGUAGAGUCGGAGUUUCACCAUGGUGGCCAGGUUGGCCGUGUUGGCCAGAUGGGGUCUUCUUUUGUUGCCCAGGCUGGCCGCAAAUUCCUGGGCUCAAGUGAUCCUCCCACCUCUUCCUUGUAGAGAUGGAUUUAGUUAUGUCGUCCAGGCUGAUCUCAAACUCCUGGGCUAAAUCGAGGUCUCCCUCUGUUGUCCAAGGCUGGAGUGUAGUAGUGCUAUCACAGCUGACUGCAGCCUCAACCUUCCAGGCUGAAGCGAUCCUCCCAUCUCAACCUCCCACGUGGCUGAGACUAUAGGUGCUUGCCACUAUGCCCAGCUAAUAUUUGGAAUUUUCCUAUACGUGGAUUCCAGAGGGGUGACAGCGAAACGUGA
rnacentral:lncRNA from 1 species